AAAAUAUGUCAAAUAAUGCUUUCUUCCUGUUAAAGUUCAAUCAAUUCACAAAUAAGUAUACACUUAAAAAACGCAUGACCAUGUGAGACUUUUCACUUUUGUUUUUCCCCAAAAUACUUAAUAUGUUUUAAAUAUAAAAUUAAGCAUGCAAAGAAGAGGUCAUUUUCUGAAAUAAAGAUUUCCUAAAAAAUAAACAAAUUAAAGCAUGUGUUUAAAUAAGAGUAUCUCCCACAUGAAUUGUCAUUCCAGGGCUUAAAUUUCCUAUCAUGAUAUCCUUGAUAGAGGGUUACUGCUUACUAGAACGCUUAUAUUACACUUAUGGUUCUGAAUGGUAAAGUUGAAGUCAUCCCUAUGAAAGAUUAA